UACGUAGGUGGCAAGCGUUGUCCGGAUUUACUGGGCGUAAAGGGCUCGUAGGCGGCCAACUAAGUCAUACGUGAAAUCCCUCAGCUUAACUGGGGAACUGCGUGUGAUACUGGAUGGCUUGGAUUUGGGAGAGGGAUGCGGAAUUCCAGGUGUAGCGGUGAAAUGCGUAGAUAUCUGGAGGAACACCGGUGGCGAAGGCGGCAUCCUGGACCAAUAUUGGACGCUGAGGAGCGAAAGCCAGGG
rnacentral:rRNA from 1 species